rnacentral:rRNA from 1 species
GUGUCAGCCGCCGCGGUAAUACGUAGGGGGCGAGCGUUGUCCGGAAUUACUGGGCGUAAAGGGUGCGUAGGUGGUUGCCUAAGUCAGAUGUGAAAUCCCCGGGCUUAACUCGGGUGGUGCAUUUGAAACUGGGUAACUAGAGUGCAGGAGAGGGAAGCGGAAUUCCUAGUGUAGCGGUGAAAUGCGUAGAUAUUAGGAGGAACACCAGUGGCGAAGGCGGCUUUCUGGACUGUAACUGACACUGAGGCACGAAAGCGUGGGGAGCAAACAGGAUUAGAUACCCUGGUAGUCCACGCGGUAAACGAUGGAUACUAGGUGUAGGGGGCGUAAAGCCUUCUGUGCCGCAGCUAACGCAAUAAGUAUCCCGCCUGGGGAGUACGGCCGCAAGGUUGAA